rnacentral:rRNA from 1 species
CCCGCUGAACUUAAGCAUAUCAUUGAGCGGAGGACAAGAAAACAACUGUGAUUCCCUGAGUAACUGCGAGUGAAUAGGGAAAAGCCCAUGCUUGAAUCCGGUGUGGAUGGAACCUCGGAAACACCGGAAUUGUAGUGCAAGGGUGUGGAGUGACCUGAGUCAGUCGGAAGAAUCGCUCAGGAACGAGCAACCAAUGAGGGCUAUCGUCCCGUACUCUCCGACGCGGCUUGGGUCGCAUGCUCCAUUCUCCAAGAGUCGGGCAGUUUGAGAAUGCUGUCCAAAUCCGCAGGUGUAUUCCUGCGAAGGCUAAAUAUUUCACCAAGACCGAUAGCGAACAAGUAGUGUGAACGAAAGAUGAAAAGUACUUUGAAAAGAGAGUGAAAAGUCCUUGACAUUGUUGGGCGCAAAGGGUAUGAGACCCAUUGUAUGCUUCUGCUUUCUAGCGAGAGCCGUCAACGCGGGUUUCCGGCUUCUGCAGGAGGCGUGCUGCCUGAUACCUUCGGGUUGAGGGAGCUGCCCUCUGUUGCAGAAAGUCGGAGACCUGGCAGAGUCUUUCCGCAGCACGCGCUUGAUUUUGCCUUUGUACCGCCUGGCCAAAGCGCUCUUCCUCGUGGGGAGUCUUUACCAGGCAUGCGUGGGCACCAGGCGCGUGCGAGCUGAGGAAUCGUUGACCUUUUAAUGGUCUCUUACCACCCGUCUUGAAACACGG